AUGCCGGUGGAGGCAGCCUUGAGCAGUGACAUCACAAGAAAAACCACCAACCAGGGCCAAGGAGACCAGAGCCCAGCACCUCACCCAAAGGACCCCAGUCAGAGGCCCCAUCUCAGACCCGAGGCUAGCGUGGGCUGCAGGCUGCUCUGCUGUGCGGUUCUCUGUCUCCUGGGAGCAGUUCCCAUAGACACUGAAGUUACCCAGACACCAAAACACCUGGUAAUGGGAAUGACAAAUAAGAAGUCUUUGAAAUGUGAACAACAUAUGGGGCACAGGGCUAUGUAUUGGUACAAGCAGAAAGCUAAGAAGCCACCGGAGCUCAUGUUUGUCUACAGCUAUGAGAAACUCUCUGUAAAUGAAAGUGUGCCAAGUCGCUUCUCACCUGAAUGCCCCAACAACUCUCUCUUAAACCUUCACCUACACGCCCUGCAGCCAGAAGACUCGGCCCUGUAUCUCUGCGCCAGCAGCCAAGACACAGCCUUGCAGAGUCACCGCUUUCCUGUGCAGAAACCUUCGGGGCCUGCCAGGAAGCCGCGGGGGCCACGGAGGGCUCAGGUGAACAUUUCCUCCAAGAGCCCCGGCAGAAGCUUCAGAACAUCAUAG